GAAGAGAUGCUUUCUGACAUAAUGAGCUUAAAGAUGAAGCUGGUCAAUACAUCUGACAUAGACGUUAAUGAAGACUGGCUUAAACAUCCGGGAAUACAGUAAAAUAACAAACUUAUCAAUAUGCUUCUAACACGUCAGCGGUCAGCUAUACAUCUAAAAGGAGUUGUGAAGAAAGGCGAUAUUAAACGGACUGCCGAUAUAUCAGAAGGAAAACUAUCGCAUAAUGAUAAUGGUAUAUCUGUGGAAAAUGGUGAAUGUAUUACGUGUACAGUAUUAUUCGAUACAAGAAAAAUACCUGUGGAACAAAUGGGUAAGUUCUUAUUAUUCCAAACCAAUCAAUACUUGGGGAAAAAAUGAAAGAGUGAAAAACAGUGAACUUGAGAGAAUGCAACUUUUUUUUUUCAAACAUGAUACAUGUAAGGUAAAAAUAGACAAUUAAAAUUUUGUUUGAAUGGUAAGUGCAGCUAUCAUGUUGAUUUGAAAAUACGUAUGCAUCUUUCCUUUUAAUUUCUGUAUCCAAGCAUUGUUCAGAGCCUAAAUAAGCAACCAUAAGUUUUAUUUUUAUAAAUCAAAUCAAGUAUUUAUAUAAAUAAAAAAAUAAUGAACAUUAUAACAUUCCCUGAAGGUAACGUUAUUUAACAAGAUGACUCUUUUAAAAUAGGAAAUUUGCCUCUCAUCGAUGUGGGUUCGAAACCUCAUUUGGGGUGUAGAAUGUUUUCACGUGAGGAAGCCAUCCAGCUGGCUUACGGAAGGUCGGUGGUUCUACCCAGGUGCCCGCUCGUGAUGAAAUAGUGCACGGAGGGGCACCUGGGGUCUUCCUCCACCAUUAAAGCUGGAAAGACGCCAUAUGACCUAAAAUUGUGUCGGUGCGACAAUAAACCCAACAAAAUAAAAUAAAAUAAAUUAAAAUAGGAAAUUAGAAUAUGAAGUGAAACUUAGAACCGGCAUUGGGUCAGCAGUGCAAAUUGCUUCUGUGUACAACGACUGUACGAAUGGAACACAUUACGACCAGGAUCUUGUUAUACAGAGGGUAUUUCAACUGUCUGUUGGACAAAACAGUGAGGUGUUUAUUGAUAUUGGUGAACUUUGUCACAGUCUUGUUGUUGAAGAAGAUAUACAUUCAUUUGGUAUAUUUGAACUCUGAAUAAAUUUCGCGUCAAUUGUCAUAUAAAAGGGUUCAUAAGAAGAAGAUUCGUGAUAGUGAAUAAGUGUGUAAAACCGAUAAAUGUUUAUCGCCACAGACAGAUGUCAUUACUGUUUUAUUACUUUUCAUAUGCAUGUAUAAAUGUCAGUAUGCUAAUCUACUUUCCAGAUUUUAUUUACAGAACAAUAAAAUCAUAUGUAUGAAAAACUUUAUAUCUAUGUGAUAAUUGUUAGAGAAAAAUGUUUUGAAGCAGGGUUAUCGUGUAGAUAAUAUAAUUUGAUCUGUUUGUUUGAUAUUAAUUUGUUGCUUAACUAAACAUAAAUGUUUAUAUGAUCUCAUAAUAUUUCAUCAGCACCGUUGUA